rnacentral:rRNA from 1 species
UGGGGAAUAUUGGACAAUGGGGGAAACCCUGAUCCAGCCAUGCCGCGUGUGUGAAGAAGGUCUUAGGAUUGUAAAGCACUUUAAGUUGGGAGGAAGGGCAGUUAACUAAUAUUUGACUGUUUUGACGUUACCGACAGAAUAAGCACCGGCUAACUUCGUGCCAGCAGCCGCGGUAAUACGAAGGGUGCAAGCGUUAAUCGGAAUUACUGGGCGUAAAGCGCGCGUAGGUGGUUCGUUAAGUUAGGAGUGAAAGCCCCGGGCUCAACCUGGGAAUUGCUUCUAAAACUGGCGGACUAGAGUAUGGUAGAGGGUGGUGGAAUUUCCUGUGUAGCGGUGAAAUGCGUAGAUAUAGGAAGGAACAUCAGUGGCGAAGGCGACCACCUGGACUGAUACUGACACUGAGGUGCGAAAGCGUGGGGAGCAAACA